UCCUGGUGGCUCAGAUGGUAAAGAAGCUGCCUGCAGUGCAGGAGACCCAGGUUCGAUCCUGGAUUAGGAA
rnacentral:tRNA from 1 species